rnacentral:rRNA from 1 species
AUUGAACGCUGGCGGCAGGCCUAACACAUGCAAGUCGAGCGGCAGCGGGAAAGUAGCUUGCUACUUUUGCCGGCGAGCGGCGGACGGGUGAGUAAUGCCUGGGGAUCUGCCCAGUCGAGGGGAUAACUACUGGAAACGGUAGCUAAUACCGCAUACGCCCUACGGGGGAAAGCAGGGGACCUUUGGGCCUUGCGCGCUUGGAUGAACCACGGUGGGAUUAGCAAGUUGGUGAGGUAAGGGCUCACCAAGGCGACGAUCCCUAGCUGGUCUGAGAGGAUGAUCAGCCACACUGGAACUGAGACACGGUCCAGACUCCUACGGGAGGCAGCAGUGGGGAAUAUUGCACAAUGGGGGAAACCCUGAUGCAGCCAUGCCGCGUGUGUGAAGAAGGCCUUCGGGUUGUAAAGCACUUUCAGCGAGGAGGAAAGGUUGGUAGCUAAUAACUGCCAGCUGUGACGUUACUCGCAGAAGAAGCACCGGCUAACUCCGUGCCAGCCGCCGCAGUAAAAC